rnacentral:lncRNA from 1 species
AAAAAGUCCAUCACUCACCUAUUUCUACAUCUUCUCUCUAGUGCUCUGCCUUUCUAAUGGCUAUUAAUCACUGUGUUUCAAGCAAAAGACAGUAUUUACAUCCUGCAUAGCAACUGAAAUAUAGAUUUAAUAUAUUAAGCUGAAAUAGAUGUUCUGUUCAGGUACAUGAAUAAGCAGGUGCAACCUCAAUGAGAAAUCAGAGGGCUGAGCCCAGCUUCUCAGUAAUAGACAUGAAACAGGAGUGAGACCUUGUUCAGCUUGGCAGAAACAGAGCUGAAUUCUGGGGCUUAUCCCUUGAACAAGCACAAGGUAUCCUCUUGAACACCACUACGGAAAGACCAGGACAGAUUCUAUGACUCCCAAAGUCAUGGUAUAAAACUUUUGACAUUAGCUUUUUUCUAUUGCUCUCUUCCAUGGCAUGAUUGGGAUCCCAGAAAAAUGUAAAUCAUACCAGCUCCUGCCCUUGUGGGGAUGAGGAUGAAGAAUGAAUGGAAAGAAUGGAGCUAAAAAUGUUCCCCUAUAAAUCUGUGCUGGCCUGUACAUAGAAGACUGUACAUACAAGGAGAUAAAUAACUUCUGUUAAGGAAAAGGCUGCACAACCCAUAAGAUCCUCUCACAACAGAACACGGACUUCUAUCCUUUGUUUUUACUUGCCAGUGAUCACCAUCUUUUUUAUUGUAGUGUGUAAAGCUGGAAUGGGAUUUUUCAGACAUGGCAAAGAUUGUCUAAAUCUUCUAUGAUCAAUGGUGGUGGUAAAACUUCUAUUUCUGAUGACAAUGCCAAGAAUUUAAGCCAGUUCUGAGAACUAUGAAAGUCAUAUCUCUGUCCAGCCCUGUGAAGCCUGGCCCCACAGAGUGUUUCCUGACAGAUCCUCAGCUCCCUGGCAGACCUUUGGGCUCACUCACGGUGAACAUGGUAGUAGGUAUAAAGACGGUCUUGGAAACUUGCAGAUGCUUCUGCAAGCAUCCUUGGCUUCUGGUCAGGAUCCCACAGGUUCAGUACAGCCUCUGUGCAUACCACACCAUGAAGAAACCAUCUAGAAGUGAUUCUUCUUUAAUGACCCCAGAGGCUAGAAGAACCUCCUGCUUUGAACCGAAGAAGGUAACAGUUUAUCUCUUUACAGACACCUAUGAGAAUGGUUUAACCAUAUAUAAUGUAUUAAAUUUGUUAUUGGAAACAAGUGCUUGGACAUUAUCCAUGUAA